UACAUGCAAGUCGAGCGAGAAAGUUUCUUCGGAAACGAGUAAAGCGGCGAACGGGUGAGUAACGCGUAGGAAUCUACCAUUCAGCGGGGGAUAGCUCGGGGAAACUCGAAUUAAUACCGCAUACACCCUACGGGGGAAAGAAGGCCUAUCCUUGGAAGCUUUCACUGUUUGAUGAGCCUGCGUGAGAUUAGUUUGUUGGUGAGGUAAUGGCUCACCAAGACUACGAUCUCUAGCUGGUCUGAGAGGACGAUCAGCCACACUGGGACUGAGACACGGCCCAGACUCCUACGGGAGGCAGCAGUAGAGAAUAUUGGACAAUGGGGGCAACCCUGAUCCAGGCAUGCCGCGUGUGUGAAGAAGGCCUUAGGGUUGUAAAGCACUUUAGGUAAGGAAGAAAAGUUAAUAGUUAAUACCUAUUAACCGUGACAUUACUUACAGAAUAAGGACCGGCUAACUCCGUGCCAGCAGCCGCGGUAAUACGGAGGGUCCAAGCGUUAAUCGGAAUUACUGGGCGUAAAGCGCGCGUAGGCGGUAUGCUAAGUUGGGUGUGAAAUCCCCGGGCUUAACCUGGGAACUGCAUUCAAAACUUGUAUACUGGAGUACGGAAGAGGCGAGUAGAAUUCAUGGUGUAGCGGUGAAAUGCGUAGAUAUCAUGAGGAAUACCAAUGGCGAAGGCAACUCGCUGGUCCGAAACUGACGCUGAGGUGCGAAAGCGUGGGUAGCAAACAGGAUUAGAUACCCUGGUAGUCCACGCCGUAAACGAUGAGAACUAGCCGUUGGAUCCUUGAGAUUCAGUGGCACAGCUAACGCAUUAAGUUCUCCGCC
rnacentral:rRNA from 1 species